UACAGAGGUCUCAAGCGUUGUUCGGAUUCAUUGGGCGUAAAGGGUGCGUAGGUGGCGCCGUAAGUCAGGUGUGAAAUCUCGGAGCUCAACUCCGAAACUGCACUUGAUACUGCGGUGCUCGAGUACUGGAGAGGAGAUUGGAAUUUACGGUGUAGCAGUGAAAUGCGUAGAUAUCGUAAGGAAGACCAGUGGCGAAGGCGAAUCUCUGGACAGUUACUGACACUGAGGCACGAAGGCCAGGGGAGCAAAAAGG
rnacentral:rRNA from 1 species